rnacentral:rRNA from 1 species
GAUGAACGCUGGCGGCGUGCCUAAUACAUGCAAGUCGAGCGAACAGACGAGGAGCUUGCUCCUCUGACGUUAGCGGCGGACGGGUGAGUAACACGUGGAUAACCUACCUAUAAGACUGGGAUAACUUCGGGAAACCGGAGCUAAUACCGUAUAAUAUAUUGAACCGCAUGGUUCAAUAGUGAAAGACGGUUUUGCUGUCACUUAUAGAUGUAUCCGCGCCGCAUUAGCUAGUUGGUAAGGUAACGGCUUACCAAGGCAACGAUGCGUAGCCGACCUGAGAGGGUGAUCGGCCACACUGGAACUGAGACACGGUCCAGACUCCUACGGGAGGCAGCAGUAGGGAAUCUUCCGCAAUGGGCGAAAGCUUGACGGAGCAACGCCGCGUGAGUGAUGAAGGUCUUCGGAUCGUAAAACUCUGUUAUUAGGGAAGAACAAAUGUGUAAGUAACUAUGCACGUCUUGACGGUACCUAAUCAGAAAGCCACGGCUAAGUACGUG